CUUGGAGACAAUGGAAAUACCGCUUGGCAUUUAGUUUUAAGCCUCGCGGUGGACUAGCAGAGCCUGUCAUGUCGUUUGUUUCCCGAUUAUUAAAAAGAAGAGGAUAUAAUGGAUUGAUUGAUACAGGGAUCCAGCAGAUACGGAAAAAGGGACAACACUUCAACUGAAUGUGUCAUCCAUAUACCGGUUCUUGUGAAAAGUGUUUUAUUUGGCACCAUUCAGCUACAAAUACCCAAUGUACUCUUUGCCGGUGGAAUUGUGACCUCAAUCAACUGCUCAUGACACUGCUACAUGGCAGAGAAUUUUCUUCUGAGACAAGCAAAUUGUUUAAAACAUUUUACACCUGCAGGUAGUGAUGACUGCAACAGAAGUUUUUAUCAGGAUCUCGUCCGACAUCAUAAGUACAACUGGUCACUGUGAUUUCUUAAAUAAGAGGACAUAUUGUAAAGGCGGUUACAUAUGUACACGUGGCUCCAAAUGAUGCUUGACUGUUUUCCUUCGCUUUAUACGUAAACCUGGAUUCUCUGAUGCAGUAAUAUAGAGCCAUGUCAUGUUUUAAAUCCCAUCUUCCCACUGUCACAAAGUGCUGAAAUAAAAUGAUUUUGAUUUAAA